rnacentral:rRNA from 1 species
UACGGAGGAUGCGAGCGUUAUCCGGAUUUAUUGGGUUUAAGGGGUGCGUAGGCGGGCUUUUAAGUCAGCGGUAAAAAUUCGGGGCUCAACCCCGUCCGGCCGUUGAAACUGGGGGUCUUGAGUGGGCGAGAAGAAGGCGGAAUGCGUGGUGUAGCGGUGAAAUGCAUAGAUAUCACACAGAACCCCGAUUGCGAAGGCAGCCUUCCGGCGCCCUACUGACGCUGAGGCACGAAAGUGCGGGGAUCGAACAGG